UUUAGUUUGAUCCUGGCUCAGAGUGCAACGCUGGCGGUAGGCCUAACACAUGCAAGUCGAACGGCAGCACAGGAGAGCUUGCUCUCUGGGUGGCGAGUGGCGGACGGGUGAGGAAUACAUCGGAAUCUACUCUGUCGUGGGGGAUAACGUAGGGAAACUUACGCUAAUACCGCAUACGACCUACGGGUGAAAGCAGGGGAUCUUCGGACCUUGCGCGAUUGAAUGAGCCGAUGUCGGAUUAGCUAGUUGGCGGGGUAAAGGCCCACCAAAGGCGACGAUCCGUAGCUGGUCUGAGAGGAUGAUCAGCCACACUGGAACUGAGACACGGUCCAGACUCCUACGGGAGGCAGCAGUGGGGAAUAUUNGGACAAUAGGGCGCAAGCCUGAUCCAGCCAUACCG
rnacentral:rRNA from 1 species